UGUGUGUGUGUGUGUGUGUGUGUGUGGGUGGGUGGUGCAGCAGGUGCAAGGCACACACACGCACACGCACACGCAUACACGCA
rnacentral:miRNA from 1 species